rnacentral:rRNA from 1 species
UACGUAGGGUGCAAGCGUUAUCCGGAAUUAUUGGGCGUAAAGAGCUCGUAGGCGGUCUGUCACGUCGGCUGUGAAAACCCGAGGCUCAACCUCGGGCCUGCAGUCGAUACGGGCAAACUAGAGUACUGCAGGGGAGACUGGAAUUCCUGGUGUAGCGGUGAAAUGCGCAGAUAUCAGGAGGAACACCGGUGGCGAAGGCGGGUCUCUGGGCAGUAACUGACGCUGAGGAGCGAAAGCGUGGGGAGCGAACAGG